rnacentral:lncRNA from 1 species
AUGAAUCAGAUUAGAUGUAGAUGGGAGCCUUAUUUCCUAAAUGUUGGAAUAUUUUUCUUCUUUCUGCACAGUCAUCAGAAAUCAGGAGGAGACUUUCCAGUGAACUUGCAGUCUUGGCAGCAGGGGUCCAGGCCCUCACAUCAGGAAACAUCACCCCUUGCUCUGUGGACACUGGCUACAGUGAGCAGCGUCUGGACACCCCCCCCCUCCUCCAUGUCAGGCCCAUACACCCCGGGCUCCUCUACUUCCUCUCAGGGUGGAGGAGGAACACCUUACAGCUCCAGAUCUGGGACUCCUUUUUCACAAGACACAAGCUACACUGGCAGCAGGCAUACUGGCUACAACACUGGCACCUUGGGCAGUGGCUACCCUCCUCAAGACAUGCUGCCUUCCUCCUCCUCAUCUUCUGCAGUCUCAUCUACUGUCGGUGGAUAUAAAGUGUCUCGCUACUCUGAGGAUGCACAGGAACCUUCAGUGUAUCAUCGAGGUCGCCCUAUAUACCCCCCAACCUCAUCGUACCGUCCCACUGAGCCACCAUGUUACCCACCAUACCCAAAUGUUGCAGGGCCUGGCCCACACAUGGCUCACCACUCCUCAAUGCUGCCGCCACCUCUUGCCACCCAAUAUGAUCAGCCCCCACUGUCAGAAAGGGAUAGGGACCGUGACAGAGACUCAGGAGGCCGCUAUGGGCCAGGGGGGAUUGGUUCUAGAAGAUCAUCGUACCACCACCAGCAGGAUGUAAUAUCUUCCUCAAAGUACCAUUCCCAUCAUUCCCACCACCACUCAGAUCGCAGGGAUGACAGGGGGUACCGGCGAGACAGCCUGGGCUCCCGUUCAGGUGACCACAGCCACCAGAGACAUCGCAACCACCAUCAUUCUCACAACCACCAUGGCAGCAGCAGCCGCAGAAGAAGCAGCCACGACCGCGACAGAGAUCGAGACAGAGACCGAGAUAGAGAUAGAGACAGAGACAGUGACUACUCUAACAGCUCUGACCCCAGAUAUAAUUCUAACUCUUACCGCUCUUCUUCGAACAGCAUGUCUCCUCCCCCUUCAUCUUACUCCUCAUACGCCUCUAAAGAGCCUGCCCCAGCCCCUCCUCAGGGACUGGAUGCUUCCACCCGUCUGGGUGGCACAAGUGUUGCAGAAAGGGGCUCUCUGCCUUCAGUAGGUGCUGACAAAGACUUCCAUGCUGGUCACCAUAAUGCUCUGCCUCCACCUCCCCCCCCCCCCCCGCCCCUUCCACCAGCCUCUGUUAUUGCAGCGGCUGUUGCAGAGACGCUUGGAACGAUGGACUUUAACCAGGACAGUCCAGCCCGUGAAGAGCAGUGGACAAAACCCAAACGCCGUCCCAGCACCCCACCCGCGCCUCCAAAGACGCCCCCACCUUCCUCCCCGCCUCAUCCCUCCAUCAGUUCCUCUUCCACCUCCCCGUCCUCGACCUCACUCCCCCAUCACCUUCCUUCUUCAUCCAGCUCCCCAGCACCUCCCCAACGUGACUCCUCUUCCCCUGAGCCAGAUUCGACCAAUGAGAGUUUACCGUUCGUCUACCACAGCAGCAGUCUGGACUCUCGUAUUGAGAUGCUCCUAAAGGAACAGAAGGCUAAAUUUUCUUUCCUGGCCUCUGAUGAGGAAGAUGAGGAAGACAGGAAAGAGGAGAAGCCAAGGGGUGCACGUGGGGAUGGAGGAGAGCGAAGAGGAACGUCAGGUGAUGUAACAGGGGAGCACACAAGUGGUAAUCAGGUAGGAGACGGUGGGGAUAAGGAGCACAGAAGGAAAGGGGAAAGAGACAGAGAUGGCCACAGAGGAAGGAAACGAGGAAAGGGAGCUGAGGGUAGAAAGAGUCCUACUGUACUUGCAGCAGCAACACCAACCUCUUCCACCUAUUCUCCUCACAUCCCACCUCCAGAAGAACCCCAGCCACAGGUGGGCUUGACUGGGCCUGCAGUUUUGCUGGAGGAAUCUUCACAGACUGUAUCUGCUGAUACACGGGAAAGGACAGGCGCACAUACACCACCUUACAAUGGCCAGAGUCAGGUAAGAUCAGCAUGUAAUGAAACUUUUAUUGGGUCUGAACUGCAUUUUUGUACCAACUCUACUUGUUGUGUUGAUGUAAAAUCUCUUGAAAUUUCUCAGGGUACUACAAACCAGGCAGGAGUAAAAUUUCGUUCACAUCCUCAACAAGUUUCCUCUCCAGUUUUUACUUUUAAUAAUCAAUAGAAAAGAUCCACUACACACAUGAAUGUUUUGGGUUCUGCUUUCCUGAAUUACCUCUACACUUGAUGAUCACAACUCUUCAGCACUUAGCACUAUGCAACACAUAGGCAGCCUAAUUGUCUUUUUUGCAGUGGAACAAUAACACUGGAUAGGGUAGUAUUGUUUGACAUCUCAUUGCUGUAAUAAAAGCAACCCCCAAAUCAAUGUUCUGUAAAAAUGUUUCUUGUAUGUGAAACAUGAAAAAGCAUUGUGAAGCCAAAGUGUUUGUAACCCCAUUGGGAAAGUUUGGUUUUCACUUUGGUAUUUAAGACGCUGUUUGUUUCCCAACUGAUAUA